UACGUAGGGGGCAAGCGUUGUCCGGAUUUAUUGGGCGUAAAGCGCGUGUAGGCGGCCAGGUAGGUCCGCUGUGAAAACCCGAGGCUCAACCUCGGGACGUCGGCGGAAACCAUUUGGCUAGAGUCCGGAAGAGGAGAGUGGAAUUCCUGGUGUAGCGGUGAAAUGCGCAGAUAUCAGGAAGAACACCAAUGGCGAAGGCAGCUCUCUGGGACGGUACUGACGCUGAGGAGCGAAAGCGUGGGGAGCGAACAGG
rnacentral:rRNA from 1 species